GUAAAGAGAGUGCAAGAGAACGUGAAACUGUUAUAGUGGGAACAAACGGAGCCGGCGGAUCCAGUACGUGUUCAGCUAUUGGUGGGUGCGAUGCGAUUGGUUUGGGGUUUCUCAAGGUGGUCGGCCGGCGGUUUUAUUAUUUUUCAAUGGUCCAUUUUCUUACAGACUGAGUCGAAUCGGUUGGAGAUUGCCCCUUAAAAAACACCAAGAAGGCCAGCCUUUGGGCGGGAAACCUAGGCGGGCUUAGAAAGCGGAUAAGUCUGGUCGUAUAAAAAGAGCUGACCUGGCUACGAUUGGUUGGGACGAUAGGCUUGGUGGCGUUCGGCGCGUGCGUUUCGCGUCGGCAGCCUUUGUUCUGGCUUGAUUGUUGCUCGGCUCAAAUUCGGUAUGUUGUCGGUCACCCAUUUGACCCGUCUUGAAACACGGACCAAGGAGUUUAAGGUGUGCGCAAGUCAUUGAGUGAUUAAAAACUUAAAGGCGUAAUGAAAGUGGGACACUUGGUGUUUGUGAUGCGAGCCGUGUGCGACUCGUUGCGCGCGGAGCAGCAUCGACCCAUGACCAGGACUUGUUCUGUUGUGGAGUCCGAGCGUACGCUUUGAGACCCGAAAGAUGGUGAACUAUGCCUGAACAGGACGAAGUCAGAGGAAACUCUGAUGGAAGUCCGAAGCGGUUCUGACGUGCAAAUCGAUCGUCUGAUUUGGGUAUAGGGGCGCAAGACUAAUCGAACCAUC
rnacentral:rRNA from 1 species